UACCCGCAGCACAAGUGGUGGUCAUUAUUAUUGGGCCUAAAGCGUCCGUAGCUGGCUUGUUAGAUGCCUGGGUAAAUCGAUGCGCUUAACGCAUCGAAUUCCGGGUAGACCGGCAAGCUCGAGACCGGGAGAGGUGUAGGCUACUCGAGGGGUAGGGGUAAAAUCCUGUAAUCCUUCGGGGAGGACCAGUGGCGAAGGCGCUACACUAGAACGGCUCUGACAGUGAGGGACGAAGCCCUGGGCGCAAACCGG
rnacentral:rRNA from 1 species